GGGGAAUCUUGCACAAUGGGGGAAACCCUGAUGCAGCGACGCCGCGUGGAGGAUGAAGAUCUUCGGGUCGUAAACUCCUGUCGAACGGGAAGAACGUUUCGCGGAUGAAUAAGCCGCGGAAGUGACGGUACCGUUAAAGGAAGCACCGGCUAACUCCGUGCCAGCAGCCGCGGUAAUACGGAGGGUGCAAGCGUUAUCCGGAUUCACUGGGUUUAAAGGGAGCGUAGGAGGGCAGGUAAGUCAGUGGUGAAAUCUUCGAGCUUAACUCGGAAACUGCCGUUGAUACUAUCUGUCUUGAAUACCGUGGAGAUGAGCGGAAUAUGUCAUGUAGCGGUGAAAUGCUUAGAUAUGACAUAGAACACCAAUUGCGAAGGCAGCUCGUUACACGAAUAUUGACUCUGAGGCUCGAAAGCGUGGGGAUCAAAC
rnacentral:rRNA from 1 species